UACGGAGGGUGCAAGCGUUGUCCGGAAUUAUUGGGCGUAAAGAGCUCGUAGGCGGUUUGUUGCGUCGGCUGUGAAAUCCCGAGGCUCAACCUCGGGUCUGCAGUCGAUACGAGCAAACUAGAGUGUUGCAGGGGAGACUGGAAUUCCUGGUGUAGCGGUGAAAUGCGCAGACAUCAGGAGGAACACCGGUGGCGAAGGCGGGUCUCUGGGCAACAACUGACGCUGAGGAGCGAAAGCGUGGGGAGCGAACAGG
rnacentral:rRNA from 1 species